GUUUUUUUGGGGGGGGAGGGAAGAAGAAAUGUGAAGCUGACAAGUCAAUAUUAACAAUUCUUACGGCAAUCGAUCCUUAGGAAUUGCUACAAGCCCUAUUACUGAAUACACUGAGAAACAGGGUGUACCCAUAAGCAGAAAAUUCCACUGAGUCCUGUAGAUUCAGUAAAGCAGAUGCUUUUUAAGAGUCUUUAGUUAAAAAAAAAAACCCUCCUUUGUUUUGCCUUGCUGUAGCUUACAUCCUCGCUAUUUUGCUGGACUAAAGCACGGCUGAAGUGAAGCCUCCCAGCGCGUCCCCGGGGGUGAGGGAAAGCCCCUACGGCGAGGAGGCCGCGGCUGCGUGAGCAUGUGGAGACACCUGCUGGCAGGAUAAGUAGGGCUGGCUGCACGGCCCUGUGCAACACAGCACCGGAGCAUGCAGGUGUAUUUGCAAGCCAAGCUGCCAUUCUGCAUUACUGAAACUGCGCAGCAUGCACAGGACAACGUGAGCACAAGGGCAGAGCUGCAUGGAGCUGCCUGUGGGAGGGUAACAGCCUGCAUUAAACACUGCAUGUCAAGAUGCAAAGACAAACAGCUGUCAAGAGGGAAGAAAGCUGUAACUGCAGCCAACAGAUGACUCUGGAGCCAACAGCUACUACAGAGGCCCUUGAGAUAGACAGCAGGAACAAGAGCGUUUUCCCUCAUAGGUUCACUGUCAGAUUAUUUCCAUGAUGUUUCCAGAAGUGAAUGAAGCAUUUCAGAUGUAGUUUCACUAAAGAGAGAGAGAGAUCUAGCUGCACAUGGACCUAUCAGGAGGAGAGGGACUGACAUCUGGAAUGUUUGAUCGUGAUGCUCCGAUAGAUAACGAUUUAUUUCUCUAGUAUUUUCUGCAACACCAGCCAUAUUUAUGGAAAAAAUUUAUGUAACUUGUUUAAGAGAAAACAGUUCCAAAACGGGGCUUAACAAAGUUCUUCUCCAGGUCUUGGGUAAGACAGUCGUCUUAGCUGAUUCUGCUAGACACAGAGGUUGUUAAGAGUCUGGUUAUCAGCCAGUGCAGGAUGGGAAAUCUAUAGCUUAUAAACAGGAAUUGGCCCACAACUCCUUCUAAAUUACAAGAAAUAUUUUUGUAUUUUUACUGUAUUUUGGGUAUAGUGUUAAUGUGUGACUUUCUACAAGGUAUAUGAAAUAUCUGUUUGAGCCUUGGAAUAGAGAGCUGAUCUCUUUAGCUUGGAUAAAGCCUAGCCAGUCUAGCAUUCUUCUUGGUAGAAAUGACUAAGUCCUGACUGUGGCAGAACUCUCAAAUUUGUGAAUUCCAAAGGCGAAAGCCUACAACCUUGCCAAGUUUUUUUUUUUUUUUUCUUCUUCUGGAAAUUUCACUACAGUGAAAGAGUACAAUAGUACAAUACCGUCUUUGGGAACAACAGUAGAAGUAUGCAUGCAAACUGACCACCUAAAUCUCAUCAAAAAGUUCAAUGUGGAAACUCAAAGGAAAGUGUCCGUGCUCUCCACAGCUUCCUUGACAAAACAAGGAGGAAACAGCUUUAAGAGCUGAUUACAUACCCAAAUUAAAACAUUGCAUAUAUAUUUUUAACUGUACUCUUUUUCCUUGUGUAUAUUUUCAGGGGGAAAAAAACCAAAAAAGAAAUAAAACCAAACUGAAUGAAAAGCACACGUGUUCACAUAACGUCUUUUAUGGAAAUAGUCCUUGAUCCUUGUUACUGGCUGAGCUGUGUUACACAUAGACUGUGGGGUGGAAUAUGUGGGUGUAAAGUUGGAGGUUAACUUUUCAAACCAGCUGAUUCUUGUGGCUUUGGGUGUUGGCUUGCCUUGGGGUAGGACUUGGAGCAGCACUACUAAUCAGUAGAAGUCAGGUCAUGACCAGAGCCAGUAUAGCAUUUUGAAAUAUUUUGGGAAAAAAAAUACUGUAAAUGA